AAAGAAUGUGGUAGGGUUAUCUUGAACCACACCUGGAAAAACAUCACAUCCUGAAAGAAUCUUAGUCUGCAUCUGAAGUAAAUAAACCAUGUUAUCUUGAUUAGCAAAUAUGCAUGAAGACUAUUAACUACCUUGAUGGGUGGUCUACAAAUAAACAGGAUACAAGUUAAAGAGAAAAGCAGCCACUGUGAGAAAAUCAGCCUUUCUCAGAGCAGAGAUGGAAUCACUCCUAGACUGCCUCUAUGAAACUGCAAGAAACACCGCUUGGCUUCCUGUCUUCCUCAGAACUGAUCCCUCUGGUAUCCUGAUCGGUACAGCUAUGCAUGAUAGAGAUUCUACAGGAAGGAUGUUUCCAUUUACAUCUUAGAUAACGGAUACCACGACCUACCAGUUUUUACACAAAAGGUCUGCUUGUUGAUAGAACCAGAAGAUCUGAAGCGUCACUUAGGUUCCUCAAAUGACUGUGCUGCUACACCAGGAGUUGUAUUGUAUCAUGGGACCAAAAGAUGACUCUGAAAGACAGAGGCAAGGACACUAAGACUUUGCCAUAUAUGUAUAUAGUGAAAAUAUAAGCUACUUCCUUUCCAUCUAUAAAAGCAGAAGAGAGUAUUGUAAGCAUAAAUCACCGUAGUCCUAAUACUAUCACUGUGGAAGUCUGAUACACAGUAGAUGAUACCAAUUUAAAAGCUCUGCAAGGAAAGCAGAU
rnacentral:lncRNA from 1 species